rnacentral:snoRNA from 1 species
AUCCUUCGGUUCAUGAGUGUGAUGAUCGGACUCUUCACGGAUCCUCCGUGACAGGUGCAGCCUCCUUGUUACGCUGUGCGCCUCAGCCCUUCUGAUC